AGCAAUACCUGAGACCGGCGCACGGGUGCGUAACGCGUAUGCAAUCUACCUUUUACAGAGGGAUAGCCCAGAGAAAUUUGGAUUAAUACCUCAUAGUAUGUAUGAGUGGCAUCACUUAUAUAUUAAAGUCACAACGGUAAAAGAUGAGCAUGCGUCCCAUUAGCUAGUUGGUAAGGUAACGGCUUACCAAGGCGACGAUGGGUAGGGGUCCUGAGAGGGAGAUCCCCCACACUGGUACUGAGACACGGACCAGACUCCUACGGGAGGCAGCAGUGAGGAAUAUUGGACAAUGGGCGCAAGCCUGAUCCAGCCAUGCCGCGUGCAGGAAGACGGUCCUAUGGAUUGUAAACUGCUUUUGUACGGGAAGAAACAGCAGUUCGUGAACUGCCUUGACGGUACCGUAAGAAUAAGGAUCGGCUAACUCCGUGCCAGCAGCCGCGGUAAUACGGAGGAUCCCAGCGUUAUCCGGAAUCAUUGGGUUUAAAGG
rnacentral:rRNA from 1 species